rnacentral:misc_RNA from 1 species
UCCGGUUUGGCACCGGCAGUCCUCCCAGAGUCCUCGCCAUGACGCGUUAGCAACUGGGAGCGGGGGUUGCGCUCGUUGCGGGACUUAACCCAACAUCUCACGACACGAGCUGACGACAGCCAUGCAGCACCUGUCUUGGGACUCCGAAGAGGGGCCGUGGUUUCUCACGGCUUUCCCCAAGAUGUCAAGCCCAGGUAAGGUUCUUCGCGUUGCGUCGAAUUAAACCACAUGCUCCACCGCUUGUGCGGGCCCCCGUCAAUUCCUUUGAGUUUCAGCCUUGCGGCCGUACUCCCCAGGCGGGGCACUUAAUGCGUUAGCGCCGGCACCCAGGCGGGGUACUUACUCCGUUAGGUGCGGCACCGGCGGUAACCCGCCGACACUUAGUACCCAUCGUUUAGGG